rnacentral:tRNA from 1 species
UCCCUGGUGGUUCAGUGGCUAAGGGUUUGCACUCCCAAUGCAGAGGGCCCGGGUUCAAUCCCUGGUCAAGGAA